ACUCCUACGGGAGGCAGCAGUGGGGAAUAUUGCACAAUGGGCGCAAGCCUGAUGCAGCCAUGCCGCGUGUGUGAAGAAGGCCUUCGGGUUGUAAAGCACUUUCAGUCGUGAGGAAGGUAGUGUAGUUAAUAGCUGCAUUAUUUGACGUUAGCGACAGAAGAAGCACCGGCUAACUCCGUGCCAGCAGCCGCGGUAAUACGGAGGGUGCGAGCGUUAAUCGGAAUUACUGGGCGUAAAGCGCAUGCAGGUGGUUUGUUAAGUCAGAUGUGAAAGCCCGGGGCUCAACCUCGGAAUAGCAUUUGAAACUGGCAGACUAGAGUACUGUAGAGGGGGUAGAAUUUCAGGUGUAGCGGUGAAAUGCGUAGAGAUCUGAAGGAAUACCGGUGGCGAAGGCGGCCCCCUGGACAGAUACUGACACUCAGAUGCGAAAGCGUGGGAGCAAACAGGAUUAGAUACCCCUGGUAGCGACUGA
rnacentral:rRNA from 1 species